AGCGAACGUUAGCGGCACGCCUAACACAUGCAAGUCGCACGAGAAAGGGAGCAAUCCUGAGUAGAGUGGCGCACGGGUGCGUAACACGUAGAUAACCUGCCCUUUGGAGGGGGAUAACGUUCCGAAAGGAGCGCUAAUACCGCAUAACGCCUUUUCCGGUUCGCCGGAGAUUGACAAAGGUAGGGACCCGCAAGGGCCUACCGCCAGAGGAGGGUCUGCGGCCCAUCAGCUAGUUGGGGAGUAAGGCUCACCAAGGCAGAGACGGGUAGCUGGUCUGAGAGGAUGAUCAGCCACACUGGUACUGGAACACGGACCAGACUCCUACGGG
rnacentral:rRNA from 1 species